AACGAACGCUGGCGGCAUGCCUAACACAUGCAAGUCGAACGAGACCUUCGGGUCUAGUGGCGCACGGGUGCGUAACGCGUGGGAACCUGCCCUUAGGUUCGGAAUAACUCCCCGAAAGGGGUGCUAAUACCGGAUAAUGUCUUCGGACCAAAGAUUUAUCGCCUUUGGAUGGGCCCGCGUUGGAUUAGCUAGUUGGUAGGGUAAAAGCCUACCAAGGCGACGAUCCAUAGCUGGUCUGAGAGGAUGAACAGCCACACUGGGACUGGGACACGGCCCAGACUCUUACGGGAGGAGGGAGUGGGGAAUAUUGGACAGUGGGCGGAAGCCUGAUCGAGCAAUGCCGGGUGAGUGAUGAAGGCCUUAGGGUUGUAAAGCUCGUUUACCCGGGAUGAUAAUGACAGUACCGGGAGAAUAAGCUCCGGCUAACUCCGUG
rnacentral:rRNA from 1 species